UCUCUUCAUAUUUUAAACAUAACCUCAACCGUAACUACACUCCUAAUAUUAUGCCUAACCCUAACCUUAAAUCAAGCACAAAAAGCAUUUUUGUUUUCACGAAUUUUUACGAUAUAGCCAAUUUCACUCUGUGGCUGGGGUAACUAGUGGAAACCCUCCUCCCAUCAGUCUCGUCACACUUCAACGGUUCGAGCCACAGUGCAAGAACAAGAAGGCGGACUGGCUGUGAAUAGCUUUUGGAAGAGGGAGUGAUACAGCAAACAGUGGACUAGCUAACGUUAGCUAUAACAAAGACUUUUCAGAAUGGAUUAACCCGUUUUGCGAGAGAAUUAAGUGGAUAUAUUCUCCCAAGGACAACCUUAUAUCGGUAAAGGAUUGCUUGUUUUCAUUUUUUGCUUCUGAGAAAUUCAAUAAUGCAACUCACCACAGUGUGUGGAUAGUGAUGGAGCUAACGUUGCACUUCUGUAUCAGCUCUCGCUUUGGAUGCUUGCUGUUUACUCAGUUUGUGUUAUAACAAUUUAUUUUACCCAUUGAGAUAAUAUAGUACAACGACGAAAUGCUGGCUUGUAUGUGAGAACAUACGCGUCUGUAACUGGCUAGCAAGUCCAUACGCUUACGUUAGACUAGCUAACAAGCUAGUUAGCUUGUUAGCAUUUCGGCUCGUCAACUGAUUGUCAAACGCGAGCAUUCUCCGUCACGAGGGGAGACGUUUUAGAUAUCCCAAAAAGCUAAAUGUUUGAACCUUGUCUUUAAAACAGAUUUAUUUUUUGUCGGUUGAUAUUAAGUUAUUGUUAAAUAUCAGUCUUUGUCAAAACGGCGGCCCUAACGAAGUGUAACGUUAUCCCCUGGAAUCUUUCAAUAUGCACCAUCCUCAUUCUGCAGGAGACUCUGGCAGCGUCAGAAAGAUGGCGCACCCGGCGAAUUUUCCAAGAAGGGGUAAUGUUAGCAACAUUAACACCGGCGCCGGGACUGUUCCCACGAUGUCAACACCGACUAUUUCAGCUGUUAGCAAAUGCCACGUUCCCACUGAAGACUACCAAUCCCCCCUCUUGAUGCAGUCUCAACCUCCUGUUGGAUCAUCCUCCCCUGGGCCUCAGCACCCUCCCCACAGCCUUAACCUGCACUCCCAGCCACAGCCCCAGGCUCUCUCCUCUGGGUCUCAGAUGAUGAUGAAGAAGAAGAGCGGCUUCCAGAUCACCAGCGUGACUCCAGCACAGAUCUCUGUGAGCACCAACAACAGCAUUGCGGAGGACACGGAGAGCUAUGAUGAUCUGGAUGAGUCUCAUACAGAGGAUCUGUCCUCUUCAGAGAUUCUGGAUGUCUCCCUCUCCAGGGCCAAUGACAUGGCUGGGGGUGCAAGGAGCUCCUCGGAGGAGACGCUGAAUAACUUUCAUGAGGCGGACACCCCCGGGGCCAUCUCCCCCAACCAGCCCCCCCACUCCUUGCCCCAGGGACCCCAGCACGGAGCAGCACGGAUGGUGAACGGAAAUGUGCACCACUACCAUCACCAGAGGCAACAUAAUCAUCCUCAGCAGGCCCUGGCUCAACCUCAUUCCUCUGACCCCCACUUUACCCCCACCUCUGGAGGGGCUGGGGGUGCCCUAAAGAUGCCUUCUACCAUGGAGGUACAUCUGGAGAAUGUUUCAGUGGGUUCUGCCAGUGUUGCUACUCAGCCUGUAGCAGCUGUCUCUCUCCCUGGAAUGCACAGCUCUGCUGCAGUAGCUUCCGUUAGCAUAGCUAAUCCCCUGACCAGCAAUGUUUGUAAUGUGAAUAUGUACAGCUCUUCCAAUGUAUCUGUGAUGGGAGGUGUUAGCACCAGUGCAAGCAGCAGUGGUGGUGGCUUCCCCCCUAGUGUGAUGAGUUGUGGUGGGGGGGUUGGAGGUUUGAUGGGGAGUAACUUUGGCAACCCCAAUGUCAAUCUGAUCCAACACCAAAGCUCUGGAACUGUGAACUCGAGCAUCAGUAUGACUUCUGCUGCUCCCAGUGGCUCUGUGGUGUUGGGGCCCUCCAGUGGCACACAGGGUGGAGGAGCUGCCAUACCUCAGCCAGGGAUGAGCUCCUCGGGCAUGGCUCUAGCCUCAGUCCCCUCCUCCCAGCCCCCCCCAACCCCAGCUCCUGCCACCACUAGCUCCCGUUUCAGAGUGGUCAAGCUUGACUCCAGCUCAGAGCCAUUUAAAAAGGGAAGAUGGACAUGUGCUGAGUACUAUGACAAGGAGACCCCAGCUUUGGCCCCUGCCCCCUUGUCCUCUGAGGCUACUGCCCCUAGUGGCCGGGUUGUGGAGAGCAUGCAGCCGUGUGGGCCUGAGAGUGUGAAAGGGGGGUCGGAGAGGGAGAGCACCGGUGGGGGUUCAGUGAGCAGCACAGUCAGCACACUGAGUCACUACACAGAGAGUGUGGGAAGUGGAGAUGCUGGAGGCCCCCCAUUACUCCAGCCCCACCCUCACUACCAGGACUACUCCAACCCCCCUCCGUCCUUCCAGACCUCCCGCCCAGGUUUCCCCAUGGUGGUGUCCCACCCCCAGUCUCACCUGCUGACCACUGUGGCUCCCUCAGUCCCUGCCAGCGUUCACCAGCCUGCCCCCAUCAACAUGGCGGGCCUCCAGACCACCAUAGGCCACCCUACCACUCCUAUUCACCAGCAGCCGCUCACCUACGCCCAGGCAGCCUCCAACCCGGCUCCUGGCUCAGCUCAGAGCCUAGUGGGGGUGCUCCAGAAGCAGAUGGGCUAUGCUCUUACACAGCAGCCUUCUGCGACUCCCCAGGUAGCCCCGGUGCACAGGCUGAGCCAGGGAGGGGGCAUGCCUCCAGACUACCCGCAGCCCAAGGCAGGCCUAGCCCAACCUGCUGUCCCACAGGCCCUGCCUGGAUCCGGGCAGAUGAUGGGAGUCUCGCAGCAGAAGGUGGUUGGCUCCAUACCCCAGCUCCAACCCCAGGGUCUCAUCCAACAGCAGCCCCAACAGACCUCAAUCCAGGCCUCUGCUGUAGGAGGGGGGUUAAUGCCUCAGAUGGGCCCAGGAGGAGUGACUGGGUUUGGGCAGCAGCCACAAGGACACUCUCUUCCCCUGGACCACCAACAUCAUCAACAACAGCAGUCAUUCCCAAGCAAAGCCCAAGGACUUGCCACCCAGCUGUCCAACACUGCCCCCCCUAACCAGGGCUGUCUAGUCUCCAAUGUGCUUCCUCCUAACCCCCAGAGUGACCCCCAGAACGGCAGUGGCCUGGCCCAGUCUCACCCCCAGGCGCAGCCACCCGGGGUCAGCAUGCCCCAGGACUUCAACAGUGCCCAGGCCCACACCCAGGCUGUGGCUUCCCAAGCCAGUGCCCUGUACGCCAGCCUGCCCUCCUUCACCACCACCCAGCUGGAGGAUGCCCAGCGCCUUCUCUUCCAGGACCAGUCUGCCCUGCUGGCCCAGACCAUGGCCAAGCUGGCUGGGGAGGGUGGCACUGCGGCAGGCACAAGCCUGGGGGCUGAAAGUAAUGCAGCCGCCGCCACGGCCGUCAGUGCCUUAACCUCCUCUGCCGGACUCUUCAAAGCCGUGGAAGGAGACGAUGAUGGGUUAAGAGGAUCUGCAGAGAAGAAUGGGAGAAACUCCCAAAUUACAGGUGUGCCAAGCUUGUGGUGUCAUAACCAAGAAGACUAGAGGCUGUAAUCGCUGCCAAAGGUGCUUCAACAAAGUACUGAGUAAAGGGUCUGAAUACUUAUUUAAAUGUGAUUUUUUUUUUAAAUUUCUAAACUGUUUUUGCUUUGUCAUGUGCGUAGAUUGAUGUGGGGGAAAAACUAUUUAAUAUAUUUUAGAACAAGGCUGUAGCGUAACAUUUGGAAAAAGUUAAUGGAUCUGAAAACUUUCCGAAUGCACUAUAACUUGGAUAGAGGGAGGGAGAGGGACUUUUUUCCCUUAUUAUUAGAAGAGUGGUACAAAAAUGGAUCCAGCACACUGUUGAAGUCUUUGCCUUGGAUGGGUAUUUAGAUCAGGCAGUAUAGACACCACAUUUUUCAGGAAGUUUAUAUAUCGUCCAUAUUAGGGGUAUAAAUAUUUGCCAGAACCACCAGAAUAUUAUACAGCAUCCCUGAGACCACAAUAUAUCGACCAUUUCAUGUCUGAGAACUUGGGAAGGUGCCAAAUUUGUAUUGUGAUUGUUCAAAUAGUUUGAGAUUAAAACCUGCCCAAUACAGGAUUUUCUCCAGCUUUAAUCUGGGAACAGGUGUGUUUCUUGUUACAAAAAGAAGCUAUGUUUGCUUUGACAAGUUGUAAGUGUGCCGUUUUACAUUCCAACUAAUGCAGUUGAGCCCCCCUUGGCCUGUCUUGUAUCUUGAUUUGACAUGUUGUACAGGAAGCUAUCUCUAUACAAACAUUUAAAAGCAUAAAUGUACCUGUAUGCAUGUUGCUUUUUUUCUAAGCAAGCAAAAUACAUUGUUGGCUCAAAUAAGUGGUUCUCUAACUGUUCUGCAUUGUUACUCAUCAGCACAAAGCGCCUUCCAGAUCCUCUUCUGACUGAUCAAAAAAACAGUAGUUCAAGUUUGAAGCAAUAAAUGACUCACAACCUGACUGAAUCAGUGACUGGUGUACAAAUCAAAUUGUAUUUGUCACAUGCGCCGAAUACAACUGGUGUCGACCUUAGUGAAAUGCUUGCUUACUUAGCCCUUAACCAACAAUGCAGUUUUAAGAACCCCCCCCCAAAAAAUAAAAUAAAAGUAAGAAUAACAAAUAAUUAAAGGGCAGCAGUAAAUAACAAUACCGGGGCUAUAUACUGGGGGUACUGGUACAGAGUCAAUGUGCGGGGGCACCGGUGUCUAGGUACUUGAGGUAAUUAUGUAACUACAAUGUUGUUCAGACGCUAUCACUGUUUGUAUAAGUGAUAGGUAUUGUUACCCCAGGAAUUGGUAUUAUUAACUUAGAUAACUGUGCUAAAUUAAUAUUUUACUGAUCUGGUGCUGAAGUAUACUGAACAAAAAUAUAAAUCCAACAUGCAACAAUUUCAAAGAUUUUACUGAGUUACAGUUCAUAUAAGGAAAUCAGUCAAUUGAAAUACAUUUAUUAGGCCCUGAUAUGUAGAUUUCACAUGACUAGGCAGCAGUGCAGCCAUGGGUGAGCCAUGGAGGGCAUAGGCCCAACCACUGGGGAGCCAGGCCUGGCCAGUCAGAAUCAGUUUCCCCCACAAGGGCAUUUAUUAUAGACAGAAAUUCUCUUCCGCAGAGUUGAAUGGCUGUGAUAGGAGAGAACUGAGGGCGGAUCAACGACAUUGUAGUUACUCCACAAUACUAUCCUAAUUGAAAGAGUGAAAAGAAGGAAGGAAGCCUGUACAUAAUAUACACUGUAGUUGCUUACCAAGAUGACAUUGAAUGUUCCUGAGUGGCCUAGUUAUGGUUUUGACUUAAAUCGGCUUGAAAAUCUAUGGCAAGACUUGAAAAUGGCUGUUUAGGGGCCUGAGGGCACACACUUCAUGCGUUGUUGAAGUGUGUAAAUUUAUUUUUUGCUUCAAUUUUAUCUCUAAAUAAGCUUUGUUGUACAAUUUUUAAAGGUCAAAUGCACUGCAUUUCAAACAGUCAGCAAUAAUCUAAUGAAUUCAGAGCUUGUGAAUUUAUACCUCCACAACCAUAAGACCCAUUGAGGGCACACACUUAAUGUGUUGUGAAAUUUGUUGUGAAUGUAUUGUAAUGUUUUUAAAAUUGUGUAACUGCCUUAAUUUUGCUGGACCCCAGGAAGAGUAUCUGCUGCCAUUACAAAUACAACCAACUUGACAGAGCAUGAAUAAUGUUUACAUUUGAUGCACUCAAUAAGGCUAAUCUUAAAGCACUUAAAAUGAACUUUUAUCUAAAAAAAAAAAACAUUUUUUUUAUAAAAGUGAGUUUAUAAGAUUAUAAUUGUUUGCCAUUUGUUUUUAUACUGAUUUUAGGAAGAGUAAUGGAAAUGUCUGGCCCCCCUGGAAAUAACCUUAAUCUAAUCUGACCCUUGCCUAUAGCCCUUGCCUAUAUCAUUAUUUUGUUUGCCAUUGUCCUCUAAAACCCCAAUUUGUAUGAUUGGCAGUAAUCUAGUAAGCAUAGGGCCCUAGGCUAUUUCUGGCAUAUAGCUAGAGAUCAAAAUCUAUGUUGACGAGACAACCAUUGUGCUGCACACAUCUGAGACCUGUGAACUAUGCUGUUACCUCUGAUGUCCACCAGUUGUCAGUGUCACGCCUCUAAUCAGCCUCCUCCCUCUACUGCCCACUUGACAAUUUCCCUGAUAGGUGGUUUGUCUGCAAGACAGAGACACACACACACAGAGACACACACACACAGAGACACACACACACAGAGACACACACACACAGAGACACACACACACAGAGACACACACACACAGAGACACACACACACAGAGACACACACACACAGAGACACACACACACAGAGACACACACACACACACAGAGACACACACACACACAGAGACACACACACACACAGAGACACACACACACACAGAGACACACACACACAGAGACACACACACACAGAGACACACACACACAGUGUAUUAUACAGACAUAUUUACUGUAAACCUAUGGGAAAUUCCAUGGCAAUGGAAUUACGCUGAAACUCAGAUUUUUCACUUUAAAAUGUAUACCAACAAAACCAUUGAUUUCAAAGUUUAACAAACCACACAACUCUAUGAACAAGGAAUACUUUUAACAAUUUUCACUGAACAUUUUACAAAAACACAUUUACAUGAAUAACUGUGCAGAUAUACAUUUGGUAACGGAAUUAAUUUUCUGUAGAAAUUGUUCAAAGUAGUCCUUGUUCAUAGAGUUGUCAGAUUUUUUGACUUUGAAAUCAAUGUUUUUUUGUUUGGCAUACCUUUUUAAAGUGAAAAAUCUGAGUCUCGGCAUAAUUUCGUUGUUCAGAAGUGGCUUGUGGCACAGUCGCACAAUUGUAGAUCCGUGUGUGUAUAUGUUAAUCUGUUUGUCUCCCUCUCUUUUUUCCAUGUUCUCUCCUGACCUGCCCUUUCGCUACCCAUCUGUAGUUCGUCAGGAGCCAGUGUGGUGGCCAUAGACAACAAAAUUGAACAGGCUAUGG